rnacentral:rRNA from 1 species
GACGAACGCUGGCGGCGUGCUUAACACAUGCAAGUCGAACGGUAAGGCCCUUCGGGGUACACGAGUGGCGAACGGGUGAGUAACACGUGGGUGAUCUGCCCUGCACUUCGGGAUAAGCCUGGGAAACUGGGUCUAAUACCGGAUAGGACUCCGGACUGCAUGGUCUGGGGUGGAAAGCUUUUGCGGUGUGGGAUGGGCCCGCGGCCUAUCAGCUUGUUGGUGGGGUGAUGGCCUACCAAGGCGACGACGGGUAGCCGGCCUGAGAGGGUGACCGGCCACACUGGGACGGAGAUACGGCCCAGACUCCUACGGGAGGCAGCAGUGGGGAAUAUUGCACAAUGGGCGCAAGCCUGAUGCAGCGACGCCGCGUGAGGGAUGACGGCCUUCGGGUUGUAAACCUCUUUCAGCACAGACGAAGCGCAAGUGACGGUAUGUGCAGAAGAAGGACCGGCCAACUACGUGCCAGCAGCCGCGGUAA